rnacentral:rRNA from 1 species
AUUGAACGCUGGCGGCAGGCCUAACACAUGCAAGUCGAGCGAGCGGCGGACGGGUGAGUAAUGUAUGGGGCUCUGCCCGAUAGAGGGGGAUAACUACUGGAAACGGUGGCUAAUACCGCAUACUAUCGGAUGUACCCAUAUGGGAUUAGCUAGUAGGUGGGGUAACGGCUCACCUAGGCGACGAUCUCUAGCUGGUCUGAGAGGAUGAUCAGCCACACGGGGACUGAGAAACGGCCCAGACUCCUACGGGAGGCAGCAGUGGGGAAGAUUGCACAAUGGGCACAAGCCUGAUGCAGCCAUGCCGCGUGUAUGAAGAAGGCCUUAGGGUUGUAAAGUACUUUCAGCGGGGAGGCGUUACCCGCAGAAGAAGCACCGGUUAACUCCGUGCCAGCAGCCGCGGUAAUAC